UACAGAGGUCCCGAGCGUUUGUUCGGAUUCAUUGGGCGUAAAGGGUGCGUAGGCGGUCUUCUAAGUUUGAUGUGAAAUCCCGGGGCUCAACCCUGGAAUUGCAUUGAAUACUGGAGGACUAGAGUACUGGAGAGGAAACUGGAAUUUACGGUGUAGCAGUGAAAUGCGUAGAUAUCGGGAGGAACACCUGUGGCGAAAGCGGCGCACUGGACCAUAACUGACGCUGAUGCGCGAAAGCCAGGGGAGCGAACGGG
rnacentral:rRNA from 1 species